AACGCGAAGAACCUUACCUACUCUUGACAUCCAGAGAACUUAGCAGAGAUGCUUUGGUGCCUUCGGGAACUCUGAGACAGGUGCUGCAUGGCUGUCGUCAGCUCGUGUUGUGAAAUGUUGGGUUAAGUCCCGCAACGAGCGCAACCCUUAUCCUUUGUUGCCAGCGRUYCGGYCGGGAACUCAAAGGAGACUGCCAGUGAUAAACUGGAGGAAGGUGGGGAUGACGUCAAGUCAUCAUGGCCCUUACGAGUAGGGCUMCMCACGUGCUMCAAUGKCAUUUCAAAGAGAASCGACCUCGCGAGAGCAAGCGGACCUCAUAACGCUUCCUAGUCCGGAUUGGAGUCUGCAACUCGACUCCAUGAAGUCGGAAUCGCUAGUAAUSGUGAUCAGCAU
rnacentral:rRNA from 1 species